rnacentral:rRNA from 1 species
UACGUAGGGGGCUAGCGUUGUCCGGAAUCAUUGGGCGUAAAGCGCGUGUAGGCGGUUCGGUAAGUCCGCUGUGAAAGUCGGGGGCUCAACCCUCGAAUGCCGAUGGAUACUGUCGGACUAGAGUACGGAAGAGGCGAGUGGAAUUCCUGGUGUAGCGGUGAAAUGCGCAGAUAUCAGGAGGAACACCGGUGGCGAAGGCGGGUCUCUGGGCCGAUAUUGACGCUGAGGAGCGAAAGCGUGGGGGAGCGAACGGG